GGCAAAGUGGUUUGAACACUGGACUAUGACUCUAGAGACCAUGGUUCGAAUCCCGGCUCGGCCA
rnacentral:tRNA from 1 species